rnacentral:rRNA from 1 species
UGGGGAAUAUUGCACAAUGGGCGCAAGCCUGAUGCAGCCAUGCCGCGUGUGUGAAGAAGGCCUUCGGGUUGUAAAGCACUUUCAGCGAGGAGGAAGGGUGGUGUGUUAAUAGCACAUUGCAUUGACGUUACUCGCAGAAGAAGCACCGGCUAACUCCGUGCCAGCAGCCGCGGUAAUACGGAGGGUGCAAGCGUUAAUCGGAAUUACUGGGCGUAAAGCGCACGCAGGCGGUUUGUUAAGUCAGAUGUGAAAUCCCCGCGCUUAACGUGGGAACUGCAUUUGAAACUGGCAAGCUAGAGUCUUGUAGAGGGGGGUAGAAUUCCAUGUGUAGCGGUGAAAUGCGUAGAGAUCUGGAGGAAUACCGGUGGCGAAGGCGGCCCCCUGGACAAAGACUGACGCUCAGGUGCGAAAGCGUGGGGAGCAAACA